UCCCGUAGUUGACGACGUGUGUUCAGUGAAAUCGAGUAGGGCGGGACACGUGAUAUCCUGUCUGAAUAUGGGGGGACCAUCCUCCAAGGCUAAAUACUACUGACUGACCGAUAGUGAACCAGUACCGGGAGGGAAAGGCGAAAAGAACCCCUGUGAGGGGAGUGAAAUAGAACCUGAAACCGUGUACGUACAAGCAGUAGGAGCA
rnacentral:rRNA from 1 species